GACGGAAGGUGCAAGCGUUGCUCGGAAUCACUGGGCGUAAAGGGUGCGUAGGCGGCCGUGCAAGUCUGGCGUGAAAGCCCCGGGCUCAGCCCGGGAAGUGCGCUCGAAACUGCGCGGCUCGAGUGCCGGAGGGGAGAGUGGAAUUCCGAGUGUAGAGGUGAAAUUCGUAGAUAUUCGGAAGAACACCAGUGGCGAAGGCGACUUACUGGACACAUAUUGACGCUGAGGUGCGAAAGCGUGGGGAGCAAACAGG
rnacentral:rRNA from 1 species